GACCAAGAAGUCUAACAUGUGUGCGAGUCAUUGGGUAUUUUGUUGAAACCUAAGGGCGUAAUUAAAAUAACUAUUUUAUGGGAUUACAAGUGAAUUAAAUUUCAUUUCUUCAUCCCGGGGCGUUCUAUACGAACAUGGUGCAAGCAAUUGAACCCUCUGUUCAAGAGCGUACCUUGAGCAUACAUGCUGUGACCCGAAAGAUGGUGAACUAUACCUGAUCAGAUCGAAGCCAGGAGAAAUUCUGGUGGAGGAUCGAAACAGUUCUGACGUGCAAAUCGAUUGUCAGAAUUGGGUAUAGGGGCGAAAGACCAAUCGAACCAUCUAGUAGCUGGUUCCCUCCGAAGUUUCCCUCAGGAUAGCUGGCGCAAAGAAUUAUAUUGUAUAUAAUCUUAUCUGGUAAAGCGAAUGAUUAGAGGCCUUGGGGCCGAAACGACCUCAACCUAUUCUCAAACUUUAAAUGGGUAAGAACCUCAUCUUUCUUGAUCUGAAGAUAUUGGGGUUUAGAUAUAUUGUGCCCAGUGGGCCACUUUUGGUAAGCAGAACUGGCGCUGUGGGAUGAACCAAACAUGAUGUUACGGCGCCUAAAUUAAUGACUCAUAUUGAUACCAUGAAAGGCGUUGGUUGCUUAAAACAGCAGGACGGUGGACAUGGAAGUCGUAAUCCGCUAAGGAGUGUGUAACAACUCACCUGCCGAAGCAACUAGCCCUUAAAAUGGAUGGCGCUCAAGUCAUAUGCCUAUACAUCAUCGCUAGAAUAAAAAUUGUUGACCAUUCGGUCAUCAUUAUGAAAUUCUAGUGAGUAGGAGGGUACAAUGGUGUGCGCAGAAGUGUUUGGCGUGAGCCUGCAUGAAGCCGCCAUUGGCACAGAUCUUGGUGGUAGUAGCAAAUAAUCGAAUGAGAUCUUGGAGGACUGAAGUGGAGAAGGGUUUCGUGUGAACAGUGGUUGAUCACGAGUUAGUCGGUCCUAAGCUUUAUGCGAAAGCUGUUUAAUUUAUGUUACACACAAUAUUUUUGUUGUACAUAAUUCAAUAAAAGCGAAAGGGAAUACGGUUCCAAUUCCGUAACCUGUUGAGUAUACGUUUGUUUAUUAAAAAUGGGUCUUAUUACACUCAUCCUGGCAACAGGAACGACCAUAGAGAAGCCUUCGAGAGAUACUGGAAGAGUUUUCUUUUCUGCUAAACAAACGUAUCACCAUGGAAGUCUUUUAUAGAGAGAUAUGGUGGAUGGCUUGGAAGAGCAUGACAUUUACUGUUGUGUCAGUAUUUUCUCCUUGGACCUUGAAAAUCUAUGGUGGGGCCACGCAAACUUCUCAACAGACCGUACCGAUAUCCGCAG
rnacentral:rRNA from 1 species